CAUUAUUAGUGAUAGCCUGGUACUUCCAGCGAUUCAUUUGUUGCUUGGUAGACCGUCUACAUGUGAAUGAAAGCAUGGAAAGAAAGCAGAGGUUUGUGUGAGUGUUUCUGUGUGUGCUAUGAAGUAAUGGAAGAGGUGCUGUGUGAGGUUCUGCUUGUAAAGUGAGCUUGGGACACUGAGCGACGUCGACGAUGAAUGGGACUGCCCCGGAAGCAUCGACAGCGGCGUCGAGGAGGCAUCGAUCUCUUGUGAGCUUGGCCUCACUCGAUGUCACAUGCCCAACAUGGAAAACUCAUAAGAUUGAUCAGAACAAGGAUGUGUCGUUGUCGGUGGCGGUAGUGGCUCAGUGCAUAGCUCGGACGCAUCAAUACUUGCCUAUCCAUUGGUUGCCAUCGACGAAAUUCCACGACAAGAAUGGUCGCGCCUGCGCGUCGGUAAGCUCCUUGGACCAGUUCACUCGUCCCUUGGUGUCAGCUCCGACGCCUGUGCACUUGUAUUGCCCGUAAUACACCGUCCUGAAGCAUCGACAGUUUGUAACUUAAGUUUGUUGGAUCGGCAUCCUCUCAAGUCUAGAAAAGUAUGAUACUAGCAAGAUUGGAAAGCUGUAGGGGUAACUCGGAAGUGUGUGUGUUUUUUAGGUGGUGAUGGACAAUCUGGAGAUGGUGGUGAAGUAAGAGAGGGAGUGGAGAUCUUACUUUUCUCUAGCAGGAUCGCCCCAGUUGUACCACCCUGCGGGAAUAAUGGGGGCGGAGAUGUCGGUGUACAGGAGCACGACCCUGGAGUAAGGACCCCAAGCGCGGCCAAUGUAGAUAGGCCCGUUCCCGGUGACGUUGCAACGAACGAAGGAAAACCCGCUAGUCUCCGCUUUCGUCAUCUUCUUCUGGGCGGUCAAGGACCCGCUGCCAGGGUUGGCAAUCGAGUGCAAAUGACAUGUCUGCAUUGGGAUUCAAUCGGUGAGUUUGGAAUUCACUGGAGUUGUUCCUGUUUUCCUGAUGUCCUACUCAGUUGAGCGUUUCGCGGAGUGACUGAAGAGUUGCGAGAGAAUGUAGUUGGCAGGUUUUUACCUCAUAAUACGACUGACCGUUGCCGAAGACGAAGUCGAUGGAGCCCUGGAUGUAGCAAUCUUUGAAGUAAUG
rnacentral:lncRNA from 1 species